ensembl:misc_RNA Metazoa_SRP Metazoan signal recognition particle RNA
GCUGGGCAUGGUGGCACAUGCCUGUAAUCCCAGCUACUUGGGAAGCUGAGGCAGGAGAAUUUCUUGAACCUGGGAGGUAGAGGUUGCAGUGAGCUGAGAUCAAGCCACUGCACUUUGGCCUGGGCAACAGAGUGAGACCCUGUCUCAA